AUGGCCUCGGGUCGGUGGGCUUCUCCAGGCCCAGCUUGGGCCUCCCGGCGGCCUCUGCAGGCUCAAGUGGUCCUGAAGUCAGCCUCUCCAGGCCCAGCUCCGGCCUCCCAGCAAGCAAGCUCUUUUGGCUCAGCUCCUGCCCAGCUCCCGCCGGCUUUUGUAGACCCUGAACUUUCUCCAGCGAUGCUCCUCAGUCCCACCUGCCUCCCGGUGGCCUGUACAGGCCCAGGUCUGGCUGGAGAACAGCCUCUGCAGGCCCCACUCUUGCCUCCUAGGGGCAUCUCCAGGCCCAGCUCUGGCCUCACGGCGGCCUCCCGGGACCAAGUCCCUGCCUGCCUCCCAGCAGCCUGUGUGCGGCCCAGCUCCUCCGUCACGGUGGCCUGUUCAGGCCCAACUCAUGCCUCUGGCACCCUUUCGAGAGGCGUGAGCCCCUGCCUCACAUUGGCCUCUCUCACGCUGAGGGAGUUCAGCGUGGGCCCCUGUCUCACACUGGCCUCUCUCACGCUGAGGGAGGUCAGCAUGAGCCCCUGCCUCACACUGGUCUCUCUCACGCUGAGAGCAAUCCUCCCUCACGCUGGCCUGUUGAGACCCAGCUCAUGCCUCUGUUGGCCUUUCCAGGCCCAGCCCCUGCCUGUUGGCGGCCUCUAG
rnacentral:lncRNA from 1 species